ensembl:ncRNA F29B9.14 ncRNA
UGCCUGUAACCAUUGUUUUCUAGAUAACUUUCGCGUAAAAUAUGGAUAUGUUGCAUCACAUUGGUGUGUACAGUAAUGACAAUGCACCAUACUUUACGCGAAAGUUUUUGGAAAAAAAACAUAUUCAGACAAAUAAAACAACACUGAUAG